AACUUUCAACAACGGAUCUCUUGGCUCUCGCAUCGAUGAAGAACGCAGCGAAAUGCGAUAAGUAAUGUGAAUUGCAGAAUUCAGUGAAUCAUCGAAUCUUUGAACGCAUAUUGCGCCCUUUGGUAUUCCUUAGGGCAUGCCUGUUCGAGCGUCACUAACAACCAAUCACCUUAUGCGUGGUAUUGGCAGAUGUGAGUUGAGUACAAAGCUUAGCAGUGAUACUCUCCCACACUGUUGGAAUGAAUAGGCUAGAAAAGUAGAUCAUAGCAACAGACUUUCAGAGUAUUUUGAAAUGCUAAAUUAGUUUGAAGCUGGUCAGAAUCUAGGCCAUUUGACCCCCAUUCUGUGUACAGCAGUAAGGUUGACCUCGGAUCAGGUAGGGAUACCCGCUGAACU
rnacentral:rRNA from 1 species